ACCCUCUGGUUCCUUUUCUCCAUCAGAUCUGAACACUGGUCUUGGUGGUCAGAAAAGGAAGAAAAGUAAUACUGAAGCUGGACUCACAGUGUUGUAGUCUGGUACAUAGCAUAUAGGCUAGUUUCAAACAGGU